GCCAGGCAUGGUGGCACAUGCCUGUGGUCCCAGCUACUCAGGAGGCUGAGAUGGGAGGAUCACUUGAGCCCAGGAGUUUGAGGCUGCAGUGAGCUCUGAUUGUGCCACGGCACUCUAGCCUGGGUCAUAGAGUGAGACCUCAUCUCUA
rfam:Pan troglodytes isolate Yerkes chimp pedigree #C0471 (Clint) chromosome 16, whole genome shotgun sequence.